rnacentral:rRNA from 1 species
CCCUGGUAGUCCGCACGGUAAACCAUGGAUGCCCGCUGUUGGUCUGAAUAGGUCAGCGGCCAAGCGAAAGCAUUAAGCAUCCCACCUGGGGAGUACGCCGGCAACGGUGAAACCCAAAGGAAUUGACGGGGGCCCGCACAAGCGGAGGAACAUGUGGUUUAAUUCGAUGAUACGCGAGGAACCUUACCCGGGCUUGAAUUGCAGAGGAAGGAUUUGGAGACAAUGA